rnacentral:rRNA from 1 species
AUUGAACGCUGGCGGCGGGCCUAACACAUGCAAGUCGAGCGGUAGCACAGAGAGCUUGCUCUCGGGUGACGAGCGGCGGACGGGUGAGUAAUGUCUGGGAAACUGCCUGAUGGAGGGGGAUAACUACUGGAAACGGUAGCUAAUACCGCAUAACGUCGCAAGACCAAAGUGGGGGACCUUCGGGCCUCAUGCCAUCAGAUGUGCCCAGAUGGGAUUAGCUAGUAGGUGGGGUAAUGGCUCACCUAGGCGACGAUCCCUAGCUGGUCUGAGAGGAUGACCAGCCACACUGGAACUGAGACACGGUCCAGACUCCUACGGGAGGCAGCAGUGGGGAAUAUUGCACAAUGGGCGCAAGCCUGAUGCAGCCAUGCCGCGUGUGUGAAGAAGGCCUUCGGGUUGUAAAGCACUUUCAGCGGGGAGGAAGGCGUUAAGGUUAAUAACCUCAUCGAUUGACGUUACCCGCAGAAGAAGCACCGGCUAACUCCGUGCCAGCAGCCGCGGUAAUACGGAGGGUGCAAGCGUUAAUCGGAAUUACUGGGCGUAAAGCGCACGCAGGCGGUCUGUCAAGUCGGAUGUGAAAUCCCCGGGCUCAACCUGGGAACUGCAUUCGAAACUGGCAGGCUAGAGUCUUGUAGAGGGGGGUGGAAUUCCAGGUGUAGCGGUGAAAUGCGUAGAGAUCUGGAGGAAUACCGGUGGCGAAGGCGGCCCCCUGGACAAAGACUGACGCUCAGGUGCGAAAGCGUGGGGAGCAAACAGGAUUAGAUACCCUGGUAGUCCACGCCGUAAACGAUGUCGAUUUGGAGGUUGUGCCCUUGAGGCGUGGCUUCCGGAGCUAACGCGUUAAAUCGACCGCCUGGGGAGUACGGCCGCAAGGUUAAAACUCAAAUGAAUUGACGGGGGCCCGCACAAGCGGUGGAGCAUGUGGUUUAAUUCGAUGCAACGCGAAGAACCUUACCUGGUCUUGACAUCCACAGAACUUUCCAGAGAUGGAUUGGUGCCUUCGGGAACUGUGAGACAGGUGCUGCAUGGCUGUCGUCAGCUCGUGUUGUGAAAUGUUGGGUUAAGUCCCGCAACGAGCGCAACCCUUAUCCUUUGUUGCCAGCGGUCCGGCCGGGAACUCAAAGGAGACUGCCAGUGAUAAACUGGAGGAAGGUGGGGAUGACGUCAAGUCAUCAUGGCCCUUACGACCAGGGCUACACACGUGCUACAAUGGCAUAUACAAAGAGAAGCGACCUCGCGAGAGCAAGCGGACCUCAUAAAGUAUGUCGUAGUCCGGAUUGGAGUCUGCAACUCGACUCCAUGAAGUCGGAAUCGCUAGUAAUCGUAGAUCAGAAUGCUACGGUGAAUACGUUCCCGGGCCUUGUACACACCGCCCGUCACACCAUGGGAGUGGGUUGCAAAAGAAGUAGGUAGCUUAACCUUCGGGAGGGCGCUUACCACUUUGUGAUUCAUGACUGGGGUGA